GUAGGGAAUAUUGGGCAAUGGAGGCAACUCUGACCCAGCCAUGCCGCGUGCAGGAAGACGGUCCUCUGGAUUGUAAACUGCUUUUGAAUGGGAAGAACAUACGGUUUGCGAACCGUACUGACGGUACUAUUAGAAUAAGCACCGGCUAACUCCGUGCCAGCAGCCGCGGUAAUACGGAGGGUGCAAGCGUUAUCCGGAUUUAUUGGGUUUAAAGGGUGCGUAGGCGGCAUUAUAAGUCGGUGGUUAAAGGUAGCAGCUUAACUGUUUUACAUGCCAUCGAUACUGUAGGGCUUGAGUGAUUUGGAGGUAGCUAGAAUUCCCUGUGUAGCGGUGAAAUGCAUAGAUACGGGGAGGAAUACCGAUUGCGAAGGCAUGUUACUACGAAUUAACUGACGCUGAGGCACGAAAGCGUGGGGAUCAAACAGGAUUAGAAACCCCUGUAGUCC
rnacentral:rRNA from 1 species